rnacentral:rRNA from 1 species
CAGCCGUAAACUAUGCGCGUUAGGUGUAUCGGUGACCACGAGUUACCGAGGUGCCGAAGGGAAACCGUGAAACGUGCCGCCUGGGAAGUACGGUCGCAAGGCUGAAACUUAAAGGAAUUGGCGGGGGAGCACCGCAACGGGAGGAGCGUGCGGUUUAAUUGGAUUCAACACCGUAAACUCACCAGGGAAGACUGUUACAUGAAGGCCGAGAUGAAGACUCUGCCAGAUUUUCAGAGAGGUGGUGCAUGGCGUCAGUGACU